rnacentral:rRNA from 1 species
GACGAACGCUGGCGGCGUGCCUAAUACAUGCAAGUUGAGCGCUGAAGGUUGGUACUUGUACCUACUGGAUGAGCAGCGAACGGGUGAGUAACGCGUGGGGAAUCUGCCUUUGAGCGGGGGACAACAUUUGGAAACGAAUGCUAAUACCGCAUAAAAACUUUAAACACAAGUUUUAAGUUUGAAAGAUGCAAUUGCAUCACUCAAAGAUGAUCCCGCGUUGUAUUAGCUAGUUGGUGAGGUAAAGGCUCACCAAGGCGAUGAUACAUAGCCGACCUGGGAGGGUGAUCGGCCACAGUGGGACCGAGACACGGCUCAAACUCCUACGGGAGGCAGCAGUAGGGAAUCUUCGGCAAUGGACGAAAGUCUGACCGAGCAACGCCGCGUGGGGGAAGAAGGUUUUCGGAUCGUAAAACUCUGUUGGUAGAGAAGAACGUUGGUGAGAGUGGAAAGCUCAUCAAGUGACGGUAACUACACAGAAAGCGACGGCUAACUACGUG